CCUACGGGUGGCUGCAGUGGGGGAUAUUGGACAAUGGGGGGAACCCUGAUCCAGCGACGCCGCGUGAGUGAAGAAGUAUCUCGGUCUGUAAAGCUCUAUCAGCAGGGAAGAAGAAAUGACGGUACCUGAGUAAGAAGCCCCGGCUAACUACGUGCCCGCAGCCGCGGUAAUACGGUGGGGGGAAGCGUUAUCCGGAAUUACUGGGGGUAAAGGGAGGGUAGACGGGGAUGUAAGUCUGGAGGGAAAAGCGGGGGCCCAACCCCCGGAGUGCGGUGGAAACUGUGUGACUUGAGUGCGGGAGAAGUGAGCGGAAUGCGUGGUGUAGCGGUGAAAUGCGUAGAUAUUACGAAGAACGCCGAUGGCGAAGGCAGCUCACCGGAGUGUAACUGACGUUGAGGCACGAAAGCGUGGGGAUCGAACAGGAUUAGAUACCCCAGUAGUC
rnacentral:rRNA from 1 species